rnacentral:rRNA from 1 species
AUUGAACGCUGGCGGCAUGCUUUACACAUGCAAGUCGAACGGUAACAGGGUGCUUGCACCGCUGACGAGUGGCGAACGGGUGAGUAAUGCGUCGGAACGUGCCGAGUAGUGGGGGAUAACGCAGCGAAAGUUGUGCUAAUACCGCAUACGUACUGAGGUAGAAAGUGGGGGACCUUCGGGCCUCACGCUAUUCGAGCGGCCGGCGUCUGAUUAGCUAGUAGGUGAGGUAAAGGCUCACCUAGGCGACGAUCAGUAGCGGGUCUGAGAGGAUGAUCCGCCACACUGGGACUGAGACACGGCCCAGACUCCUACGGGAGGCAGCAGUGGGGAACUUUGGACAAUGGGCGAAAGCCUGAUCCAGCCAUGCCGCGUGUCUGAAGAAGGCCUUCGGGUUGUAAAGGACUUUUGUCAGGGAGGAAAUCCCUAGUGCUAAUAACACUGGGGGAUGACAGUACCUGAAGAAUAAGCACCGGCUAACCACGUGCCAGCCGCCGCCGUAA